rnacentral:rRNA from 1 species
GAUGAACGCUGGCGGCGUGCCUAAUACAUGCAAGUCGAGCGAACAGACGAGAGUGCUUGCACUCUCUGACGUUAGCGGUGGACGGGUGAGUAACACGUGGGUAACCUACCUAUCAGACUGGGAUAACUUCGGGAAACCGGAGCUAAUACCGGAUAAUAUUUAGCUUCGCAUGAAGCAAUAGUGAAAGACGGUUCUGCUGUCACUUAUAGAUGGACCCGCGGUGUAUUAGCUAGUUGGUGAGGUAACGGCUCACCAAGGCAACGAUACAUAGCCGACCUGAGAGGGUGAUCGGCCACACUGGGACUGAGACACGGCCCAGACUCCUACGGGAGGCAGCAGUAGGGAAUCUUCCGCAAUGGACGAAAGUCUGACGGAGCAAUGCCGCGUGAGUGAAGAAGGUGUUCGGAUCGUAAAACUCUGUUGUAAGGGAAGAACAAGUACGUUAGUAACUGAACGUACCUUGACAGUACCUUACCAGAAAGCCACGGCUAGCUACGUG